UAGAAGAGAAUCUGAAAAACAACCAGGAGCAGAAUUUGCAUCUCGUCACCAAACUGAAAUAUGAACAAAAAGGUCUUGAGGUCGAAAACACGAGGCUCCACGCUGAACUGGAGAAACUGAAGAGAACUCGCUCUGAACCUGAGCGAGCCUCAUCCCCAGAACUGGAAGACGGCGUCAUCCCAGACUCACCGGUCCUGCACAGCUCACUGCCAGCGGCGAACAAACUGAAGAAACGCAAAGUCCUCCACAAAACCAAAUACGUCCGCUACGAGGAGACUCCUCUACCACAGUCCCGCAGCUUCAUCUUCAACGGUCAGUGUAGUUUGGAGAAAUUUCCAGAAUCCAGAAUGUUUAACCUAUAAAGACCUAAACAGCCUCUGGCGACUCAAACCAUCUACUGAUCUG
rnacentral:lncRNA from 1 species